CAGGCCUAACACAUGCAAGUCAAACGGCCCUUCGGGGCAGUGGCGCACGGGUGCGUAACGCGUGGGAAUAUGCCCUUGAGUGCGGAAUAACGGCUGGAAACGGUCGCUAUACCGCAUAAUGACUCCGGUCCUAAGAUUUAUCGCUCAAGGAUUAGCCCGCGUCAGAUUAGCUUGUUGGUGAGGUAAAAGCUCACCAAGGCGACGAUCUGUAGGGGGUCUGAGAGGAUGAUCCCCCACACUGGUACUGAGACACGGACCAGACUCCUACGGGAGGCAGCAGUGAGGAAUAUUGGACAAUGGAGGAAACUCUGAUCCAGCCAUGCCGCGUGUAUGAAGACGGCCUUAGGGUUGUAAAGUACUUUCAAACGUGAAGAUAAUGACGGUAGCGUUAGAAGAAGCUCCGGCUAAAUUCGUGCCAGCAGCCGCGGUAAUACGAAUGGAGCAAGCGUUGUUCGGAAUCACUGGGCUUAAAGCGUAUGUAGGCGGAUCAUAAAGUCAGGAGUGAAAUCCCGGGGCUCAGCCCCGGAACUGCUCUUGAAACUCAUGAUCUAGAAUACUGGAGAGGUUGGGAGAAUCCCUAGUGUAGAGGUGAAAUUCGCAGAUAUUAGGAGGAAUACCAGUGGCGUGGGCGCCCAACUGGACAGUUAUU
rnacentral:rRNA from 1 species